GAUGAACGCUGGCGGCGUGCCUAAUACAUGCAAGUCGAGCGAACGGACGAGAAGCUUGCUUCUCUGAUGUUAGCGGCGGACGGGUGAGUAAAACGUGGAUAACCUACCUAUAAGACUGGGAUAACUUCGGGAAACCGUAGCUAAUACCGGAUAAUAUUUUGAACCGCAUGGUUCAAAAGUGAAAGACGGUCUUGCUGUCACUUAUAGAUGGAUCCGCGCUGCAUUAGCUAGUUGGUAAGGUAACGGCUUACCAAGGCAACGAUGCAUAGCCGACCUGAGAGGGUGAUCGGCAACACUGGAACUGAGACACGGUCCAGACUCCUACGGGAGGCAGCAGUAGGGAAUCUUCCGCAAUGGGCGAAAGCCUGACGGAGCAACGCCGCGUGAGUGAUGAAGGUCUUCGGAUCGUAAAACUCUGUUAUUAGGGAAGAACAUAUGUGUAAGUAACUGUGCACAGCUUGACGGUACCUAAUCAGAAAGCCACGGCUAACUACGUG
rnacentral:rRNA from 1 species